rfam:Oryza sativa (indica cultivar-group) chromosome 5, whole genome shotgun sequence.
AUCCCAUGAUGAGGACAUGCGGCCACAUACUCCUACAGACGUUCCCAUGCUUCCCGAAUGGACUCGUCCCUUGUCUGCUGGAAACUGGAAUCCGUCCAUGAAGGGC